rnacentral:rRNA from 1 species
UGAGGAAUAUUGGGCAAUGCCCGCAAGGGUGACCCAGCAACGCCGCGUAGAGGAUGAAUGUCGUAAGAUUGUAAACUCCUGUUAGAGGGGAAGAAUAGUACCGGUUGGACCGGUAUAUGACUGUACCCUCAGAGAAAGCCCCGGCUAACUUCGUGCCAGCAGCCGCGGUAAUACGAAGGGGGCUAGCGUUGCUCGGAAUUACUGGGCGUAAAGCGCACGUAGGCGGACUCUUAAGUCGGUGGUGAAAUCCUGGAGCUCAACUCCAGAACUGCCUUCGAUACUGGGAGUCUUGAGUUCGGGAGAGGUGAGUGGAACUGCGAGUGUAGAGGUGAAAUUCGUAGAUAUUCGCAAGAACACCAGUGGCGAAGGCGGCUCACUGGCCCGAUACUGACGCUGAGGUGCGAAAGCGUGGGGAGCAAACA